UACAGAGGUCCCAAGCGUUGUUCGGAUUCACUGGGCGUAAAGGGUGCGUAGGUGGUUAGGUAAGUCCGAUGUGAAAUCUCCAGGCUCAACCUGGAAAUGGCAUUGGAUACUAUUUAGCUUGAGGAGUGGAGGGGGGACUGGAAUUCUCGGUGUAGCAGUGAAAUGCGUAGAUAUCGAGAGGAACACCAGUGGCGGAGGCGGGUUGCUGGGCUGACACUGACGCUGAAGUGCGAAAGCUAGGGGAGCGAACGGG
rnacentral:rRNA from 1 species